UACGUAGGGGUCGAGCGUUGUCCGGAGUUACUGGGCGUAAAGCGUGCGCAGGCGGCUCAUCGCGAUCGGCGUGAAAGCCCCCGGCUCAACCGGGGAGGGUCGUCGAGGACGGGUGAGCUUGAGGGUAUCAGGGGUUGGUGGAAUUCCCGGUGUAGUGGUGAAAUGCGUAGAGAUCGGGAGGAACACCCGUGGCGAAGGCGGCCAACUGGGAUACACCUGACGCUGAGGCACGAAGGCGUGGGGAGCGAACGGG
rnacentral:rRNA from 1 species